UGGCUCAGGAUGAACGCUAGCUACAGGCUUAACACAUGCAAGUCGAGGGGCAGCAUGAAUAUUGGCUUGCCAAUAUUUGAUGGCGACCGGCGCACGGGUGAGUAACACGUAUCCAACCUUCCGGUUACUCGGGGAUAGGCUUUCGAAAGAAAGAUUAAUACCCGAUGUUGUGUAUCUUUCUCCUGAAAGAUACGCCAAAGGAUUCCGGUAACCGAUGGGGAUGCGUUCCAUUAGGCAGUUGGCGGGGUAACGGCCCACCAAACCUUCGAUGGAUAGGGGUUCUGAGAGGAAGGUCCCCCACAUUGGAACUGAGACACGGUCCAAACUCCUACGGGAGGCAGCAGUGAGGAAUAUUGGUCAAUGGACGGAAGUCUGAACCAGCCAAGUAGCGUGAAGGAUGACUGCCCUCUGGGUUGUAAACUUCUUUUAUACGGGAAUAACAUGAGGUACGCGUACCUUAUUGCAUGUACCGUUAUGAAUAAGCAUCGGCUAACUCCGUGCCAGCAGCCGCGGUAAUACGGAGGAUGCGAGCGUUAUCCGGAUUUAUUGGGUUUAAAGGGAGCGUAGGUGGGAUAUUAAGUCAGCUGUGAAAGUUUGGGGCUCAACCUUAAAAUUGCAGUUGAUACUGGUUUCCUUGAGUACGGUACAGGUGGGCGGAAUUCGUGGUGUAGCGGUGAAAUGCUUAGAUAUCACGAAGAACUCCGAUCGCGAAGGCAGCUCACCGGGCCGGAACUGACACUGAUGCUCGAAAGUGCGGGUAUCAAACAGGAUUAGAUACCCUGGUAGUCCGCACAGUAAACGAUGAAUACUCGCUGUUUGCGAUACACAGUAAGCGGCCAAGCGAAAGCGUUAAGUAUUCCACCUGGGGAGUACGCCGGCAACGGUGAAACUCAAAGGAAUUGACGGGGGCCCGCACAAGCGGAGGAACAUGUGGUUUAAUUCGAUGAUACGCGAGGAACCUUACCCGGGCUUAAAUUGCGCUGGCUUUUACCGGAAACGGUAUUUUCUUCGGACCAGCGUGAAGGUGCUGCAUGGUUGUCGUCAGCUCGUGCCGUGAGGUGUCGGCUUAAGUGCCAUAACGAGCGCAACCCUUAUCUUUAGUUACUAACAGUUUUGCUGAGGACUCUAAAGAGACUGCCGUCGUAAGAUGCGAGGAAGGUGGGGAUGACGUCAAAUCAGCACGGCCCUUACGUCCGGGGCUACACACGUGUUACAAUGGGGAGCACAGCAGGUUGCUACACGGCGACGUGAUGCCAAUCCGUAAAACUCCUCUCAGUUCGGAUCGAAGUCUGCAACCCGACUUCGUGAAGCUGGAUUCGCUAGUAAUCGCGCAUCAGCCACGGCGCGGUGAAUACGUUCCCGGGCCUUGUACACACCGCCCGUCAAGCCAUGAAAGCCGGGGGUACCUGAAGUACGUAACCGCGAGGAUCGUCCUAGGGUAAACCUGGUGAUUGGGGCUAAGUCGUAACAAGGUAACC
rnacentral:rRNA from 1 species